rnacentral:piRNA from 1 species
UAAAACUUUGUGUCUUGAUGAUGUAGUUCC